GGGGCUGUGGCUCAGUGGUAGAAUGUCUGCUUUGCAUGCAGAAGGUCCCAGGAUCAAUCCCUGGCAUCCCCA